rnacentral:rRNA from 1 species
CCUACGGGGGGCUGCAGUGGGGAAUAUUGCACAAUGGGCGCAAGCCUGAUGCAGCCAUGCCGCGUGUAUGAAGAAGGCCUUCGGGUUGUAAAGUACUUUCAGUCGUGAGGAAGGUGUUAAGGUUAAUAACCUUAGCAAUUGACGUUAGCGACAGAAGAAGCACCGGCUAACUCCGUGCCAGCAGCCGCGGUAAUACGGAGGGUGCGAGCGUUAAUCGGAAUUACUGGGCGUAAAGGGCACGCAGGCGGUAAAUUAAGUGGGUGGUGAAAUCCCGGGGAUAAACGGGGAAAUGGCAUCAAAAAUUGUUUGGCAGAGGGCUGGAAAAGGGGGGAAGAUUUCAAGUUGUGGCGGUAAAAGCGUUAAAGAGGGGAGGAAUACCGGUGGCGAAGGCGGCCCCCUGGACAAAGACUGACGCGCAUGUGCGAAAGCGUGGGGAGCAAACAGGAUUAGAUACCCGAGUAGUC